rnacentral:rRNA from 1 species
UACGAAGGGUGCAAACGUUGCUCGGAAUCAUUGGGCGUAAAGCACACGUAGGCGGCUUGCCAAGUCGGACGUGAAAUCCCUCAGCUCAACUGAGGACGUGCAUCCGAAACUGGCGAGCUUGAGUACUGAAGAGGAUCGCGGAAUUCCCGGUGUAGAGGUGAAAUUCGUAGAUAUCGGGAGGAACACCAGUGGCGAAGGCGGCGAUCUGGGCAGAUACUGACGCUGAGGUGCGAAAGCGUGGGGAGCAAACAGG